CCCAUUGCUGUUGAGAAAAAAAGGCUUGCAAUCUCUUCCCUCUCUAUUCCAAGCCCUAGAUAAGAUAAGCUUAUGCAACUCCCCCCACCGCUACUUUCACUUCGCCUCCACCUGAGUAUUAUGCUCCCAUGCAACCUUGAAACUAUUUG